UUAGAUUUACCGCCGGGUAAAUCUCACGCGUUUGUUUGCAUCGUAGGCCUUUGAAGAUGCAAAUGGACGCGUUUUUUAUUU
rnacentral:ncRNA from 1 species